rnacentral:rRNA from 1 species
UGUUUAACAGCAUAGACAGCUGGAAGGUUGGCUUAGAGGCAGCCAUCCUUUAAAGAGUUCGUAACAGAUCACCAGUCAAGUUCUUGAGCCUAGAAAAUGGACGGGACUAAGUUGUUCACCGAUACUUUGGGCCACCGAAAGGUGAUGCGGUAGAGAGGCGUCGUGCGCGGGUGGAAGUGGGGCCGUGAGGUCCUGUGGACCGCGUUCGAAUGAUAAUCAUGGAAAGAGUAGUAGCGUAGAUGGGUGAGAAUCCCAUCCGCCGGAGGGGCUAGGGUUCCUCGACGAUGUUCAUCAGUCGAGGGUUAGUCGGUCCUAAGGUUCCCCCUAACAGGAGGAAUCGAAAGGGAAGCAGGUUAAAAUUCCUGCACCAAUUCAUAUUUUGUCCAGUUCCUGACACAUCGGGUCUUGUGGAGCACUCUUGUCGGAGUGUUGCCUUAAACAAUAAAUUUGUGGAGUACCGUAAUGGUGAGAAGCAAACUAAGUUUUUGGGAGGCGGAGUAUUUCGCUUCUGCGUUAGCCUGGUGUCCGUGAAAAGGGAGCUGGAGUCGUAUGAGUUGUCCGUACCGAGAUCUGACACAGGUGCCCCUAGGUGAGUAGCCUAAGGCGUCGCGGCAGAAUCCGGGCGAGGGAAUUCGGCAAAUUAGCCCCGUACCUUUGGUAUAAGGGGUGCCAGCUCUGAAGAGAGCUGGUCGCAGUGACUAGGGAGCUCCGACUGUUUAUUAAAAACACAGGUGGCUGCUAGUCCGUAAGGAUGUGUAUAGCCGCUGAAUCCUGCCCAGUGGCAGUAUCUGAAACCAGGUUUCAAUCUGACGAAGGACUGCUAAACGGCGGGGGUAACGAUGACCCUCUUAAGGUAGCGUAAUACCUUGUCGCUUAAUUGGCGACUUGCACGAACGGCCUAACGAGAGCUCUACUGUCCCCGCCCGGAGCCCGAUGAAAUUGACUUACUGGCGCACAGUCCAGUACGUCCCAGCCGCAAGCGAAGACCCCGUGGAGCUUUACUGCAACCUGCCGUUGUGGCACGAGUUGUUAUGUGUAGCGUAGACGGGAGACAUUACACAGGUGCGAGCGCUAGCUCGUCGCCGAGUCACCGAUGAAACACCGUCCUUUUCGAUUCGUCCCACUCACCUCUUAGGAGGAACCCCGGUAGGCGGGCAGUUUGGGUGGGGCGCCACUCCCUCGAAAAAAUAACAAGGGAGCCCAAAGGUCAGCUUAGGUAGGUCAGGAAUCUACCGUUAAGUGCAAGGGCAAAAGCUGGCUUGACGUGGUUUGGCAACACAACAAACCACGAUGUGAAAGCAGGGCCUAGCGAACCAACCAGCGCCGUUAGUAGGUGCGGUUGAUAACAGAAAAGUUACCCCGGGGAUAACUGAGUUGUCUGGAGCAAGAGCCCACAUCGACCUCCAGGCUUGCUACUUCGAGGUCGUCUCUUCCUAUCCUGGGUGUGCAGAAGCACCCAAGGGUGGGGUUGUUCGCCCAUUAAAAGGGAUCGUGAGAUGGGUUUAGACCGUCGUGAGACAGGUUUGUUGCUAUGUGCUGGGACUGUCCAAUGCCUGAGGGGAAGGAUCCUCUAGUACGAGAGGAACGAGGGUUCGCAGCCACUAGUUUACCAGUUGUCUGACAAGGCACCGCUGGGCAGCCACGCUGUAAGGGAUAAGAGCUGAAAGCAUCUAAGCUCGAAACCCGCCUCAAAACGAGGCAUUUUGACACUUAUAGAAGAUAAGAUUGAUAGGACCGGGGUGUAAGCACCGAGAGCUUUAGUGCUGCUAGAAACGUUACUUCGGUAACGCGGAAAGUAGUACUUCGAGGUGUU